rnacentral:rRNA from 1 species
UUGAACGCUGGCGGCAUGCCUUACACAUGCAAGUCGAACGGUAACAGGUUAAGCUGACGAGUGGCGAACGGGUGAGUAAUACAUCGGAACGUGCCCAGUAGUGGGGGAUAGCCCGGCGAAAGCCGGAUUAAUACCGCAUACGACCUAAGGGUGAAAGGGGGGGAUCGCAAGACCUCUCGCUAUUGGAGCGGCCGAUGUCAGAUUAGCUAGUUGGUGGGGUAAAAGCUCACCAAGGCGACGAUCUGUAGCUGGUCUGAGAGGACGACCAGCCACACUGGGACUGAGACACGGCCCAGACUCCUACGGGAGGCAGCAGUGGGGAAUUUUGGACAAAGGGCGCAAGCCUGAUCCAGCCAUGCCGCGUGCGGGAAGAAGGCCUUCGGGUUGUAAACCGCUUUUGUCAGGGAAGAAAUCCUUUGGGUUAAUACCUCGGGGGGAUGACGGUACCUGAAGAAUAAGCACCGGCUAACUACGUG